UUGGCGCAACGUGGGCUCCAGAAGCGGUUUUGUUAACUGAAGAGUACAGAUGUGUACAGCACCAGGCUUGACAAGUGCAGUGGUUCCAGUUUGUGUUCCAGCUUUGCAUCCUAGACCCAGUUGCUUCCAAGUCUUGGCUGUCGUGGAUACUGCUGCAGAAAUCAUGGGAGUGCAAAUAUCUCUGGCAUACUGAUUUCCAGUCUUUUGGGUGAAUACCAAGCAAGUGGAAUACUGGAUCAUAAGGUAGUUCUAUUUUUAGUUUUUCAAGGAAUGUCCAAAUUGUUCUCCAGAGUUGUACCAACUUACAUUCCCAUCAACAGUAUAUGAGGGUUCCCUUUUUUCCAUGUCUUCGUCAGCAUUUAUUAUUGCCUGACUUUUGGAUAAAAGCCAUUUUAGCUGUAUUAAGAU
rnacentral:lncRNA from 13 species